AUGAACGCUGGCGGCGUGCCUAAUACAUGCCAGUCGAGCGAACGGACGAGAAGCUUGCUUCUCUGAUGUUAGCGGCGGACGGGUGAGUAACACGUGGAUAACCUACCUAUAAGACUGGGAUAACUUCGGGAAACCGGAGCUAAUACCGGAUAAUAUUUUGAACCGCAUGGUUCAAAAGUGAAAGACGGUCUUGCUGUCACUUAUAGAUGGAUCCGCGCUGCAUUAGCUAAUUGGUAAGGUAACGGCUUACCAAGGCAACGAUGCAUAGCCGACCUGAGAGGGUGAUCGGCCACACUGGAACUGAGACACGGUCCAGACUCCUACGGGAGGCAGCAGUAGGGAAUCUUCCGCAAUGGGCGAAAGCCUGACGGAGCAACGCCGCGUGAGUGAUGAAGGUCUUCGGAUCGUAAAACUCUGUUAUUAGGGAAGAACAUAUGUGUAAGUAACUGUGCACAUCUUGACGGUACCUAAUCAGAAAGCCACGGCUAACUACGUG
rnacentral:rRNA from 1 species